rnacentral:rRNA from 1 species
UACGUAGGGGGCGAGCGUUGUCCGGAAUCAUUGGGCGUAAAGCGCGUGUAGGCGGCCCGGAAAGUCUGGUGUGAAAUCUUGGGGCUCAACCCCAAGCGGUCACUGGAUACUGUCGGGCUUGAGUACGGAAGAGGAGAGUGGAAUUCCUGGUGUAGCGGUGGAAUGCGCAGAUAUCAGGAAGAACACCCGUGGCGAAGGCGGCUCUCUGGGACGGUACUGACGCUGAGACGCGAAAGCGUGGGGAGCGAACAGG